rnacentral:tRNA from 1 species
GGCUUUUUAGUAUAAUUUUAGUAUUUUUAUUUUCCAAAUAAAUGGUUUUAAAGCUA